rnacentral:rRNA from 1 species
GGUGGAUGCCUUGGCGAUUACAGGCGAUGAAGGACGUAGUAGCCUGCGAAAAGCUACGGGGAGCUGGCAAACGAGCUUUGAUCCGUAGAUAUCCGAAUGGGGAAACCCGGCGCGCAAGCGUCACUCCCACCUGAAUAUAUAGGGUGGGUAGAGCGAACGCAGCGAACUGAAACAUCUAAGUAGCUGCAGGAAAAGAAAUCAACCGAGAUUCCCAAAGUAGUGGCGAGCGAAAAUGGGGAAGAGCCUGUAUGUGAUAGUCAACUGGUUAGUGGAACGGAAUGGAAAGUCCGGCGAUAGAGGGUGAUAGCCCCGUACACGAAAACUGGUUGGUGGUACUGAGCAUACGACAAGUAGGGCGGGGCACGAGAAACCCUGUCUGAACAUGGGGGGACCAUCCUCCAAGGCUAAAUACUCGUAAUCGACCGAUAGUG